rnacentral:rRNA from 1 species
UACAGAGGUCUCAAGCGUUGUUCGGAUUCAUUGGGCGUAAAGGGUGCGUAGGCGGCGCGGUAAGUCGGGUGUGAAAUCUCGGAGCUUAACUCCGAAACUGCAUUCGAUACUGCCGUGCUUGAGGACUGGAGAGGAGACUGGAAUUUACUGUGUAGCGGUGAAAUGCGUAGAUAUCGUAAGGAACGCCAGUGGCGAAAGCGAAUCUCUGGGCAGCAACUGACGCUGAGGCACGAAGGCCAGGGGAGCAAAUGGG